rnacentral:rRNA from 1 species
GUAGGGAAUAUUGGGCAAUGGAGGCAACUCUGACCCAGCCAUGCCGCGUGCAGGAUGACGGCCCUCUGGGUUGUAAACUGCUUUUAUACGGGAAGAAAAAAUACUACGUGUAGUAUACUGACGGUACCGUAAGAAUAAGGAUCGGCUAACUCCGUGCCAGCAGCCGCGGUAAUACGGAGGAUCCCAGCGUUGUCCGGAUUUAUUGGGUUUAAAGGGUGCGUAGGCGGAUCUUUAAGUCAGUGGUGAAAGCCUGCAGCUUGACUGUAGAAUUGCCAUUGAAACUGAAGAUCUGGAAUGUGGUUAAAGUAGGCGGAAUGUAUCAUGUAGCGGUGAAAUGCUUAGAUAUGAUACAGAACACCGAUAGCGAAGGCAGCUUGCUGAACCAUUAUUGACGCUGAGGCACGAAAGCGUGGGGAGCGAACAGGAUUAGAAACCCUGGUAGUCC